rfam:Emiliania huxleyi CCMP1516 EMIHTscaffold_27_Cont1384, whole genome shotgun sequence.
CCCCUCUUAGCUCAGAGGUAGAGCGUUGGUCUUCUGAACCAAGGGCCGUGGGUUCGAACCCCACAGGGGGGU